UGGUUUGCUGUUAAUGGUUAAGCAGUGUACCACCAAUCUACCAUUAAAAUAUUUUUUGCUGACAAUUUUGUAUUAAAAUUACAGGC